rnacentral:rRNA from 1 species
GACAGCAGUCGCCACGGUAAUACGGAGGGAGCUAGCGUUGUUCGGAAUUACUAGGCGUAAAGCGCACGUAGGCGGUUAUUCAAGUCAGAGGUGAAAGCCCGGGGCUCAACCCCGGAAUAGCCUUUGAAACUAGAUAACUUGAAUCCAGGAGAGGUGAGUGGAAUUCCGAGUGUAGAGGUGAAAUUCGUAGAUAUUCGGAAGAACACCAGUGGCGAAGGCGGCUCACUGGACUGGUAUUGACGCUGAGGUGCGAAAGCGUGGGGAGCAAACAGGAUUAGAUACCCCGGUAGUCCCUGUCUCUUAUCA